rnacentral:lncRNA from 1 species
AUUAAUAAAUGAUGUGGCUUGAGACUCAAAACGACUCGAGACUCAAAACGACUCGAGACUCAACCCUUAUUGGGACCUGUAUUCGAGACUCGACUUCCAAAUGGCUCGGAGAACUUUCUGCGAUUGAGAUCUCCAAUGCUCACCUGUAAAUCUCUGAUACUUUGAGAUUACUUGGAUUUGAACUUCACCUUUGAGCAAAACAAGACAACGGAAAGGACCACAGGCCCCUCCUUGGGAUGACCACCUCCGGAAGCCAAUUAUCUUGGUAGCGCAGCAACUUUUUAUCCCCGAUCACAUGCCGAUUCCGCCGAGGAUCCCAUGAAGCAUUGCUUGACCUUCAACGGUUCUGUUAUUGUUGUACAAAGAUGGAAAGUUUCUGCCCUCGACUCGACCAAGUUUGGGGUCAUUUGUGUGAAUUCUCACAACCUGGGAGCAACAGUUCCUUCCCAAGUCUUUCACGAACUGGCUGUCCAGUCCAUCUGACGUUUGACUGUUGCACGUGAUGUUUGGCCUGCUCUUGGUGAAAGACAUCUUCGAAACGUCCACCAACGACCAAUGCUGGCGGAUGGGCCCUCCGGCUUAACGUCCACACACAUCGUGAUGCCUCCUCGCCCUGCAUGCGGAGAACCAGGGUGGCAUCGGGAUUCCAGGGAUUCCCUGCAUGGGGAGAACCAGGGGGGG